ensembl:lincRNA
GGGAUGCAACAUGGUGCUUCUGGGAGGCCUGCUAACUGGCUAACUUCUCCGGCGUUCCUCCCGGCCGAGGCGUGGGCACAGAAUAGCGCAGGUGAGGCCCAGAUAUGGUGUCUCGAUACGGCGCGGAAGGUAAGCGACCCCCGGGCCGGCGGGUCGGGGAAUGGUGCUGACCUUGGAGGCCUCGGUCCGCCACGCCGCCCUUGAGCCUAAGGUCGCCGAACGACCGCCGCCCCCCACCCCUCCACUUCCGCCUCAGCAUGGCCACCCUGACUCGACUACCUGCACUGCAUGGUUCACCGACCUGUGAGCCCACGGAUCUGGCUGUGAGCCCAGCCUUCGGCAUCACAACUCAUUCCUUCCUCCAGCGCCGGUGCAUCUCGGGCCAUUCAUUCCCUGCGCCUUCCAGCAUCUGCUCCUCCAGCUUUUGCAGAUCAUGGCAGGGGCGCCUGCCCAGCCCCCCCCCCCCACCACCACCACCACCACCGGGAUGCGGUUCUCCAGCUUCCUCUCGCUGCUCAUCCCAGUUUGAAGACAUCAUUUUCCAGUUUUGGAGCCGACUAAUGAACUAGUUCUUAAGUGAAAGGCAUUUAACACGACUGUGCAUCUACAGGUACUAGGUUUCCAAGAUGCCUUUCCAGACUAAAACCCACACAUGUGAGCCGCUGGCCGGACAAACAUCUGGCACCUAACGUGGGGCUGAAAAACAGCAGAGGACAUUUGGAAGAAACACUGCUGGUUUGGAGCUCCAUAGAAGAAGAAAAUAAUUAAAGGAAAUUCAUACCAGAGAAGGUCAGUAUGGGCUAAGCUGAAACAGCGUUUAACCUGAGCGCUAAUUCGCUUAGGUUCAGCAGUGAGGCAUCUCAGGAGCUAGGAACGUAACAGGCGGUUAGCCAUAGCUCCCAGAAGCUACAUUUUUAGGCGUGAGAAAAGAAAGGGUUUAUUAAAAGGAAAUUAAUAAUAAGGCGGA